AUUGAACGCUGGCGGCAGGCCUAACACAUGCAAGUCGAGCGGGGUUUUCGGACCUAGCGGCGGACGGGUGAGUAAUGCGUAGGAAGCUACCCGAUAGAGGGGGAUACCAGUUGGAAACGACUGUUAAUACCGCAUAAUGUCUACGGACCAAAGUGUGGGACCUUCGGGCCACAUGCUAUCGGAUGCGCCUACGUGGGAUUAGCUAGUUGGUGGGGUAAUGGCUCACCAAGGCGACGAUCCCUAGCUGGUUUGAGGGGAUGAUCAGCCACACUGGAACUGAGACACGGUCCAGACUCCUACGGGAGGUAGCAGUGGGGAAUAUUGGACAAUGGGCGCAAGCCUGAUCCAGCCAUGCCGCGUGUGUGAAGAAGGCCUUCGGGUUGUAAAGCACUUUCAGUAGGGAGGAAGGGUGUUGUGUUAAUAGCACAGCAUUUUGACGUUACCUACAGAAGAAGCACCGGCUAACUCUGUGCCAGCCGCCGCAGUAAUAC
rnacentral:rRNA from 1 species